GCGCCCGUAGCUCAGCUGGAUAGAGCAACGGACUUCUAAUCCGUAGGCCAAAGGUUCGAAUCCUUUCGGGCGCGCCA
rnacentral:tRNA from 1 species